rnacentral:rRNA from 1 species
GACGAACGCUGGCGGCGUGCCUAACACAUGCAAGCCAAGGGGAAAAUUCCGCUUGCGGAAUGAUUAUACUGGCGAACGGGUGAGUAACGCGUAGGCAACCUGCCCUCAAGAUCGGGAUAACCUUUAGAAAUGAAGGCUAAUACCGGAUGUGGUCUCAGAGUCUCAUGACUUUGACAUUAAAGCUGGUUUCGGCUAGCACUUGAGGAUGGGCCUGCGAUCCAUUAGUUAGUUGGUGAGGUAACGGCUCACCAAGACCGCGAUGGAUAGCUGGUCUGAGAGGACGAUCAGCCACACUGGGACUGAGAUACGGCCCAG